rnacentral:rRNA from 1 species
UACGUAGGGUGCGAGCGUUGUCCGGAAUUAUUGGGCGUAAAGAGCUCGUAGGCGGUUUGUUGCGUCUAUCGUGAAAACCUGCAGCUUAACUGUGGGCUUGCGGUGGAUACGGGCAGACUUGAGUUCGGUAGGGGAGACUGGAAUUCCUGGUGUAGCGGUGAAAUGCGCAGAUAUCAGGAGGAACACCCGUAGCGAAGGCGGCACUCUGGGCCGGAACUGACGCUGAGGAGCGAAAGCGUGGGGAGCGAACAGG